rnacentral:tRNA from 1 species
AUUAAAUUGGCAGAUGUAAAUGCUUUAAAUUUAGAAUUUAAUUAAACAAUAGAUAUUGUAUUUAAUA